rnacentral:rRNA from 1 species
UACGUAGGGUGCAAGCGUUGUCCGGAAUUAUUGGGCGUAAAGAGCUCGUAGGCGGUUUGUCGCGUCUGCUGUGAAAACCCGAGGCUCAACCUCGGGCCUGCAGUGGGUACGGGCAGACUAGAGUGCGGUAGGGGAGAUUGGAAUUCCUGGUGUAGCGGUGGAAUGCGCAGAUAUCAGGAGGAACACCAAUGGCGAAGGCAGAUCUCUGGGCUGACACUGACGCUCAUGCACGAAAGCGUGGGGAGCAAACAGG